AUUGAACGCUGGCGGCAGGCCUAACACAUGCAAGUCGAGCGAGCGGCGGACGGGUGAGUAAUGUAUGGGGGCUGCCCGUUAGAGGGGGAUAACUACUGGAAACGGUGGCUAAUACCGCACACUGUCGGAGAAUGCAUAUGUGAUUAGCUAGUAGGUAAGGUAAUGGCUUACAUAGGCGACGAUCCCUAGCUGGUCUGAGAGGGUGAUCGGCCACACUGGGACUGAGACACGGCCCAGACUCCUACGGAGGCAGCAGUGGGGAAUAUUGCACAAUGGGCGAAAGCCUGAUGCAGCCAUGCCGCGUGUAUGAAGAAGGCCUUAGGGUUGUAAAGUACUUUCAGUCGGGAGGCGUUACCGACAGAAGAAGCACCGGCUAACUCCGUGCCAGCAGCCGCGGUAAUUC
rnacentral:rRNA from 1 species